AAACAUUGAGGACGGCACUAAGUUUUCCAAUUUGCCGCAUCGUGACAGAUGGAGAAAUCCCAGAUUAUGAAAAAGCGAGCAUGGUUGGGUGCCAUCUUUCCACAAAUGUGUAAGCAUAGGUAGAUUAUGGAACUCUUGUCGUCUUAAUUGUGCGACUGGAUCAACAAGUUCAUAAGGGAAUCUUUCCUCCUAGCCAUUA